rnacentral:rRNA from 1 species
GUGAAUUAGUCAGAAUUACUAGUGAAUCAUCGAAUCUUUGUAACGACACAUUGUCGCCCCUUCGGUAUUCCGGGCGGGGGCAUGCCCGUUCGAGCGUCAUGUAAAACCCUCAAGCCUGGCUUGGUAUUGGGGUCUAGGGACCAUCCCGGACCUCAAAUGCGUUGGCUAUUGAUUAGUAAAUGGGAGUGCUGUAGCAGCCGCCGUAACGACUUACUGGCGCGAAGCUUGCACGACCUGCCUUACGCGUUCGCAUCGGUCACGCACCGAACACAAGUUUGACCUCGGAUCGGGUAGGAAUACCCGCUGAACUUAA